UCAAAUGUGCAUGUGUGUGGCCCUCA
rnacentral:piRNA from 1 species